GACGAACGCUGGCGGCGUGCCUAAUACAUGCAAGUUGAGCGCUGAAGGUUGGUACUUGUACCAACUGGAUGAGCAGCGAACGGGUGAGUAACGCGUGGGGAAUCUGCCUUUGAGCGGGGGACAACAUUUGGAAACGAAUGCUAAUACCGCAUAAAAACUUUAAACACAAGUUUUAAGUUUGAAAGAUGCAAUUGCAUCACUCAAAGAUGAUCCCGCGCUGUAUUAGCUAGUUGGUGAGGUAAAGGCUCACCAAGGCGAUGAUACAUAGCCGACCUGAGAGGGUGAUCGGCCACAUUGGGACUGGGACACGGCCCAAACUCCUACAGGAGGCAGCAGUAGGGAAUCUUCGGCAAUGGACGAAAGUCUGACCGAGCAACGCCGCGUGAGUGAAGAAGGUUUUCGGAUCGUAAAACUCUGUUGGUAGAGAAGAACGUUGGUGAGAGUGGAAAGCUCAUCAAGUGACGGUAACUACCCAGAAAGGGACGGCUAACUACGUG
rnacentral:rRNA from 1 species